rnacentral:rRNA from 1 species
AGUGAACGCUGGCGGCAUGCCUAACACAUGCAAGUCGAACGGGACUUAGCAGUUCAUCGCUAAGUCUAGUGGCAAACGGGUGAGUAACACGUGAAUAAUCUUCCAUCAAGAGGGAUAACCUCGGGAACCGAGGCUAAUACCGCGUAUGACCACGCUCUCGCAUGAGAGUGAGGUGAAAGGCUCCGCAAGGGGCGGCUUGACGAGGGGUUCGACGGUCUAUCAGCUAGUUGGUGAGGUCAUGGCUCACCAAGGCUUCGACGGAUAGCCGAUCUGAAAGGACGACCGGCCACAAUGGCACUGAGACACGGGCCAUACUCCUACGGGAGGCAGCAGUGGGGAAUCUUGCGCAAUGGGCGAAAGCCUGACGCAGCGACGCCGCGUGAGGGAUGACGGCCU